AAAGAAGCGGUGCCUUCGGGCCCGACCUUCCAACCACUGCGUACAAAACUCAGUUGCCUCGGCCGCUUCGGCGGUCGAAGGAACCGUUAAACAAACUUUGUUUGAAUACCGUCUACACCUCGCGAAUGCGAAAAACA
rnacentral:misc_RNA from 1 species